rnacentral:rRNA from 1 species
GACGAACGCUGGCGGCGUGCUUAACACAUGCCAGUCGAACGGAAAGGCCCUGCUUUUGUGGGGUGCUCGAGUGGCGAACGGGCGAGUAACACGUGAGUAACCUGCCCUUGACUUUGGGAUAACUUCAGGAAACUGGGGCUAAUACCGGAUAGGAGCUCCUGCUGCAUGGUGGGGGUUGGAAAGUUUCGGCGGUUGGGGAUGGACUCGCGGCUUAUCAGCUUGUUGGUGGGGUAGUGGCUUACCAAGGCGUUGACGGGUAGCCGGCCUGAGAGGGUGACCGGCCACAUUGGGACUGAGAUACGGCCCAGACUCCUACGGGAGGCAGCAGUGGGGAAUAUUGCACAAUGGGCGGAAGCCUGAUGCAGCAACGCCGCGUGCGGGAUGACGGCCUUCGGGUUGUAAACCGCUUUCGCCUGUGACGAAGCGUGAGUGACGGUAAUGGGUAAAGAAGCACCGGCUAACUACGUG